rnacentral:tRNA from 1 species
UGGCUCAGUUGGUAGAGCAUGGUGUUUGCAAUGCCAGGGUUGUGGGUUCAAUACCCAC